AGCGAACGCUGGCGGCAGGCCUAACACAUGCAAGUCGAGCGAACCUUUCGGGGUUAGUGGCGGACGGGUGAGUAACACGUGGGAACGUGCCUUUAGGUUCGGAAUAACUCAGGGAAACUGGUGCUAAUACCGAAUGUGCCCUUCGGGGGAAAGAUUUAUCGCCUUUAGAGCGGCCCGCGUCUGAUUAGCUAGUUGGUUGAGGUAAUGGCUCACCAAGGCGACGAUCAGUAGCUGGUCUGAGAGGAUGAUCAGCCACAUUGGGACUGAGACGCGGCCCAAACUCCUACGGGAGGCAGCAGUGGGGAAUCUUGCGCAAUGGGGGAAAGCCUGACGGAGCCAUGCCGCGUGAAUGAUGAAGGUCUGAGGAUAGUAAAAUUCUUUCAACGGGGACGAUAAUGACGGUACCCGGAGAAGAAGCCCCGGCUAACUUCGUG
rnacentral:rRNA from 1 species